GGGGAUUUAGCUCAGCGGUAGAGCGCUUGCCUAGCAAGUGCAAGGCCCUGGGUUCGAUCCCCAGCUCCG
rfam:Rattus norvegicus chromosome 3, whole genome shotgun sequence.